rnacentral:rRNA from 1 species
UACGUAGGGGGCAAGCGUUGUCCGGAUUUAUUGGGCGUAAAGAGCGUGUAGGCGGUCAGGUAGGUCCGUUGUGAAAACUCGAGGCUCAACCUCGAGACGCCGAUGGAAACCAUCUGACUAGAGUCCGGAAGAGGAGAGUGGAAUUCCUGGUGUAGCGGUGAAAUGCGCAGAUAUCAGGAGGAACACCCGUGGCUAAGGCGGCUCUCUAGUACAGUACUGACGCUGAGACGCGAAAGCGUGGGGGAGCGAACAGG